GACGACGCUGGCGGCGUGCCUAACACAUGCAAGUCGAGCGGAGAUGUACUGAAGAUUUAUCGGAUGUACAUCUUAGCGGCGGACGGGUGAGUAACGCGUGGGCAACCUGCCUUUCACUGGGGGAUAACACAGGGAAACCUGUGCUAAUACCGCAUGACAUCACGUAGGGCAUCCUAUGUGAUCAAAGGAGAGAUCCGGUGGAAGAUGGGCCCGCGUCCAAUUAGCUGGUUGGUGAGGUAAAGGCUCACCAAGGCGACGAUUGGUAGCCGAACUGAGAGGUUGAUCGGCCACAUUGGGACUGAGACACGGCCCAGACUCCUACGGGAGGCAGCAGGUGGGGAAUAUUGCGCAAUGGGGGGAACCCUGACGCAGCAACGCCGCGUGAAGGAAGAAGGUCUUCGGAUUGUAAACUUCUUUGAUGAGGGACGAAUAAAGUGACGGUACCUCAAAAACAAGCCACGGCUAACUACGUG
rnacentral:rRNA from 1 species